rnacentral:lncRNA from 1 species
UGCAGAGUUACAAAAUACAAAUUCACAAAGUGAAACCAAAGCAAAACCAAAAGUUAACAACUAGGGGGUUUCCCGGGGUUUCUUGCCCAGCAAAGGAAAGAGGCAGACAAGACACCAACAGCAGCAGCCCUCCUUCUGUCAUCUUCUGUCUCGAGUUCAGGCGAUCUGCAACUGUACAGUGUUUGUUAGAGAACAACAGAGGAAUCAAGAGAAGGAGGAAGAGAAGAAGAAAAGCAGGAAGGGAGAAAAGAAAUAAUGAAGCGCUGCCACCAUGUGAGCAACUUCCCUCAGCCAAGACCCACCCUUCCUUGGAGCUCCCCACCUUAGGCUGAAAACGUGAGCCAGGCUGACCCUGAACUCCAGGGCUGAAGUGAUCCUCCUGCCUCCAGCUCCAAAGUAGCAGAAUCUCCAG